rnacentral:rRNA from 1 species
CCUACGGGAGGCAGCCGUGGGGAAUAUUGGGCAAUGGGCGACAGCCUGACCCAGCAACGCCGCGUGAAGGCAGAAGGCUUUCGGGUUGUACACUUCUUUUGACAGGGAAGAGCAGAAGACGGUACCUGUCGAAUAAGCCACGGCUAACUACGUGCCAGCAGCCGCGGUAAUACGUAGGUGGCAAGCUGUGUCCGGAUUUACUGGGUGUAAAGGGCGUGUAGCCGGGCUGACAAGGCAGUUGUGAAAUCCGGGGGCUCAACCCCCGAACUGCAUUUGAAACUGUUGGUCUUGAGGAUCGGAGAGGCAGGCGGAAUUCCUAGUGUAGCGGUGAAAGGCGUAGAUAUUAGGAGGAACACCAGUGGCGAAGGCGUAUUGCUGGACAGUAACUGACGCUGAGGCGCGAAAGCGUGGGGAGCAAACAGGAUUAGAUACCCCUGUAGUC